GGGCCGCUAGCUCAGCUGGUAGAGCAACGCCCUUUUAAGGCGUGGGUCAAUGGUUCGAAUCCAUUGCGGCUCA
rnacentral:tRNA from 1 species